rnacentral:rRNA from 1 species
AUUGAACGCUGGCGGCAUGCCUUACACAUGCAAGUCGAACGGCAGCACGGGAGCAAUCCUGGUGGCGAGUGGCGAACGGGUGAGUAAUACAUCGGAACGUGCCCAGUAGUGGGGGAUAACCCGGCGAAAGCCGGACUAAUACCGCAUACGACCUACGGGUGAAAGCAGGGGAUCGCAAGACCUUGCGCUAUUGGAGCGGCCGAUGUCAGAUUAGCUUGUUGGNGGGUAAAAGGCCUACCAAGGCAACGAUCUGUAGCUGGUCUGAGAGGACGACCAGCCACACUGGGACUGAGACACGGCCCAGACUCCUACGGGAGGC